AGGGCAAUAGUUUCAACGGUAGAACAUCGGUCUCCAAAACCGAGAGUGGGGGUUCGAAUCCCUCUUGCCCUG
rnacentral:tRNA from 1 species